UCCCUAAUAGCUCAGUUGGUAAAGAAUCUGCCUGCAAUGCAGGAGACCCCGGUUCUAUUUCUGGGUUGGGAAG
rfam:Ovis aries breed Texel chromosome 12, whole genome shotgun sequence.